rnacentral:rRNA from 1 species
CUAGCUUCAGGUUGGGGACAACAGUUGGAAACGACUGCUAAUACCGAAUAUGCCGAGAGGUGAAAGAUUUAUUGCCUGAAGAAGAGCUCGCGUCUGAUUAGCUAGUUGGUGGGGUAAAAGCUUACCAAGGCGACGAUCGGUAGCUGGUCUGAGAGGACGAUCAGCCACACUGGGACUGAGACACGGCCCAGACUCCUACGGGAGGCAGCAGUGGGGAAUUUUCCGCAAUGGGCGAAAGCCUGACGGAGCAAUACCGCGUGAGGGAAGAAGGCUCUUGGGUUGUAAACCUCUUUUCUUAGGGAAGAAAAAAAUGACGGUACCUAAGGAAUAAGCAUCGGCUAACUCCUUGCCAGCAGCCGCGGUAAUACGGAGGAUGCAAGCGUUAUCCGGAAUGAUUGGGCGUAAAGCGUCCGCAGGUGGCAAAUCAAGUUUGCGGUUAAAGGUUCUGGCUCAACCAGAGACAGGCCGUGAAAACUGAUUAGCUAGAGUAUGGUAGGGGCAGAGGGAAUUCCCAGUGUAGCGGUGAAAUGCGUAGAGAUUGGGAAGAA